CAAACCUGCCUGAAGUUUGGGAGAGCCCCAUUUCGAAAUUUCCCACCUCCCCCGCAUUCGCCCCUCUGAGCGCCCUGCGUUCUCCCCUCUGCUCAACUUCGUCUUCCUCUUCGUCUCUCCCUACUCGCGCUCCUACAGAUUGCUGAAGUCUUCUUAUUCUUAUCUCCCUACUCGCGCUUCUUCUUCCUCUUCGUGAAAUUUGUUUGGGUCGCCCUUUGCCUAGCUUCCCAGGUGAUCAAGGGACUUGAUGAAGGGAUCCUGAGCAUGAAAGCAGGAGGAAAGCGUCAACUUUUCACCCCAGGAUAAUUGGCAUUUCCAAAAGGUAUCACUUCAGCUCCAGGAAGGCCAAGAGUGGCUCCAAUUAGUCCAGUCAUUUUCGAUGUGAGUUUGGAAUAUAUAACAGGCCUUGGAGUGGAAGAGUAACAGAAUUCUUUGUCCCCUUCUUUUUUCUUGGCCCUUUUUCUUUACCUUUAUUGGAAUCCAAAACAAGUUCAUGAUUCAGUACUAACAUUGUAAAACCUCCAUUAAUUCAUUAAUUUCUUUUCAGACUGUACAAAAGCAGUAUUUAUUCUUCAUUCCAAGCCUCAUAUGCAUGUUAUGGUGGCAACAGUCAAAACAAAUCUAAAAAUUUGACCAUGACUUGACCCUUUUCUUUUUAUUAUGAGCCAACUCUAGAUACAAGUUCUUUGCUUCAAUUGGCGGCCAACUGCUAGGAAACAGAAUAUGGAAGGAAAUAUUGGCAUAAAAAGAGGGGCUGCUAGUACAACUUGUCCAAUUGUGGAGAUGGUGAAGCCAUUUGGUGCAGCGGGUGACCCCAAGCAGUUUUUAGUGCAUGUUGUUUUGUAUCCAGUUGUGGAGAUGCACCUGGUGUUGCUUGUGUACGUUAUAGACCAUGGGAUUUGUGUGCAAACAGUUGUUGUGUUGUGAAGAUGUUGUGGUGUAGUUUGUGUGUUUAACUUGUGGAGAUGCUGUGGUGUACUAUGUAGACUAAGGGCGUUGGUAGCAUCCACCAUAUGUACCUUGUGUAUAUACUGAUAUGUACCUGAAAUUCAGACCCUGAUGAAUAUAACAACUUUAUAUGAAUUUCUACUAUUUUGGUUUAGCUCUAAA